GAUGAAGAACGUAGCGAAAUGCGAAAAGUAGUGUGAAUUGCAGAAUUCAGUGAAUCAUCGAAUCUUUGAACGCACCUUGCGCCUUUUGGUAUUCCGAAAGGCACACCUGUUUGAGCGUCAUGAAUACCUCAAUCUCCAUCUUUUCUUCGGAUUGAUGGGUGACUUGGAUGUUGAGCCCUGCUGGUAUGCUAUAUCAGCUGGCUUUAAACUUAUUAGCCGGCUCUGUACUGGAUCGGUUUGACUCGACGUGAUAAUAUUAUCGUUGAGGAUGCAUGUCUCAUGCAGCCGGAAAGUAUCAAAGCAGCUUCUAGCUUGCCUUUAGUGCACUUUUACAUUUUAGACCUCAGAUCAGGUGGGACUACCCGCUGAACUUAAGCAUAUCAAUAAGCGGAGGA
rnacentral:misc_RNA from 1 species